GUGCCAGCGCCGCGGUAAUACCGGCAGCCCGAGUGAUGGCCGAUCUUAUUGGGCCUAAAGCGUCCGUAGCCGGCCGGACAAGUCCGUUGGGAAAUCCACUCGCCCAACGAGUGGGCGUCCGACGGAAACUGCACAGCUUGGGACCGGAAGGCGCGACGGGUACGUCCGGGGUAGGAGUGAAAUCCCGUAAUCCUGGACGGACCGCCGAUGGCGAAAGCACGUCGCGAAGACGGAUCCGACAGUGAGGGACGAAAGCUAGGGUCUCGAACCGGAUUAGAAACCCAGUAGUCC
rnacentral:rRNA from 1 species